UCGGAAAAGUGUAGAAGUUUC
ensembl:piRNA 21ur-3532 ncRNA